CAGUGUAAUUAUACAUUUAAGUACUGAGUAAUAUUAAUUAACUACAUGUACUUACUAUAUGGUUAGAGUUAGGAUUAGGUUUUGGCUUAGGUUUACUUGCAUGCCAUUAUGCAUAAUUUAUUGUUAUUGUAAUAGUAUGUAGGCAGCCAUGUCACCCU